UACAGAGGUCUCAAGCGUUGUUCGGAUUCAUUGGGCGUAAAGGGUGCGUAGGUGGCGCUGUAAGUCGGGUGUGAAAUUUCGGAGCUUAACUCCGAAACUGCAUUCGAUACUGCGGUGCUUGAGGACUGGAGAGGAGACUGGAAUUCAUGGUGUAGCAGUGAAAUGCGUAGAGAUCAUGAGGAAGACCAGUGGCGAAGGCGGGUCUCUGGACAGAUCCUGACACUGAGGCACGAAGGCCAGGGGAGCAAACGGG
rnacentral:rRNA from 1 species